UGGGGAAUAUUGGACAAUGGGCGAAAGCCUGAUCCAGCCAUGCCGCGUGUGUGAAGAAGGUCUUCGGAUUGUAAAGCACUUUAAGUUGGGAGGAAGGGCAGUAAGCGAAUACCUUGCUGUUUUGACGUUACCGACAGAAUAAGCACCGGCUAACUCUGUGCCAGCAGCCGCGGUAAUACAGAGGGUGCAAGCGUUAAUCGGAAUUACUGGGCGUAAAGCGCGCGUAGGUGGUUCGUUAAGUUGAAUGUGAAAGCCCCGGGCUCAACCUGGGAACUGCAUCCAAAACUGGCGGGCUAGAGUAAGGCAGAGGGUGGUAGAAUUUCCUGUGUAGCGGUGAAAUGCAUAGAUAUAGGAAGGAACACCAGUGGCGAAGGCGACCACCUGGGCUCAUACUGACACUGAGGUGCGAAAGCGUGGGGAGCAAACAGG
rnacentral:rRNA from 1 species